GCUAGUGUGGCAUAAUGGUUUGGGUGUUGGGCUACGACUCUGGAGACCAGAGUUCAAUUCCCAGCUUAGCC